UACAGAGGAGGCAAGCGUUGUUCGGAAUCACUGGGCUUAAAGCGCGUGUAGGCGGCGCGAUAAGUGUUCUGUGAAAUCCCACGGCUCACCCGUGGAACUGCAGGGCAUACUGUCGUGCUGGAGUACGGUAGGGGCAGAGGGAAUUUCCGGUGGAGCGGUGAAAUGCAUUGAGAUCGGAAAGAACACCAACGGCGAAAGCACUCUGCUGGGCCGACACUGACACUGAGAGACGAAAGCUAGGGGAGCAAAUGGG
rnacentral:rRNA from 1 species